GCACUGUCGUCUCUUCGCUGCUUCUUCCCCUCGCUUCUCUCCUCCUCCGAUCUUGAAAUCCCAGCGCAUGGUGGCUGGCACCUCUCCCCUCUUUCUCUUCCCCGCCCCAAGUUUUCCAUCCUCCGCUGAUGCGCACCGUUGUUCGGGAGCAAGAGGGGCCCCGCCUCCUGUGCUGUGGCGCUGCCCAACGGCAGGCCCGGACACUCGAGCCGACCGCCUGUUGCCAGCGUCGGCUUGAGCGGCCGCCACCCCCUCUCCUCUCCAAUCGGGAACUCGGACCUCACCAGCAGAGCCCUCGUUUUCAGGGAAGGUAGCCAUCGCCAGCGAUUGAGGAUGCCUCCCGACGAGCAUGCUCGUGGUUGCCCACAUCCCAGAAGUGCGUGGGAGCCGGUGUCUUUGGGCAGAGUGGGGAUCUUCAUUGCUUCUUUAGGCUGGGGAGGCUGCUCUACGCCGGGUCUUUUUCUGCUUCCUCUGGUGUGUCUUUUGGGGCAGCACGGCCAUCAUCUCGGUCAGAGGAAGGGCGCAUUCUCGAUCUGGUCGAACCUGGUGUGCACGGCAAGGCAGCUCUGUAUGGAGGGAGAGGCAAUUUGGGGACGACUUCUUGAUGAGUAGAAUUUACUAAGCAAUUAGAUCAAAUACGUAUAUAUUUAAUGCAAUGCUCUGUUCGGUAUCUGAAUGCUCAAAUUGGAAAGUUGUGUCAGCUUGACAAUUGUCAAAUCCCUGCUGGAAAAGUACCACAUUGAUUUGAAGCUAAUUGGCCACCUUGUGGUUGGUAGCGAGACAGUGAUAGACAAAAGUAAAUCCAUCAAAACGUGGUUGAUGCAAUUUUUUGAGUAAUGCAUGUUAUGGUGGAACAACCUCCCUCUUGAAUUGGUGUAACUUCGAUCGAAAGUCGAUGUUGGGAUGAACGUUACGGCCUUGUAGUCUGCACAGAUAGCACGGUUUAUGCAGAGGGGCCAGCUCGGCCUAUGGGUGGAGCUGCUACAGUUGCUAUGCUUAUUGGUCCAAAUGCAUCUAUUUCUUUCGAAAGCAAAUAUAGAGCUUCUCACAUGACUCAUGUUUACGAUCUCUACAAGCCUCAUCUUGCAAGUGAAUAUCCGGUUGGGGACAUAGGUGUGUGGUUGCUGAGUUAACUGCGUCAUUUUGAAGUUCUGAUAAGAAAAAUCCACAGUCGCCAUGCUAUUAUGUCCUUUUUAAGUGGCCUGAAUUCGCUCGUGCUUGGUGCAGCGAGAUGCAUGGCGCUGCGGGAGUUGUGGCGGACAUGGACAGAUGAAUUCACAUGAUCUUGAGAUUGCAUGGAACCCUAUGUUAUUGACACAUAAGGUGUAUGAUCUCGACCUCACUGAACCAUGUCUUGGUAAAUUUAUCGGUUCCUUACAUCUGUCCGUGUAACUUCGAACCCAGUUUAGACAUACUCAGUUUCACAGGGCAGACGAGUAAGGAAAAGCAAUUGAUGUUGUUAAGAAGCAUUGGGGAAACUCAUAACACUUCUGUUGAAACUACUUGUGAGCAGAUGUUUGCGCCAUUAAUGUCGACCAUUAUAUUGGAGAACCUGAGUGUAAAUAAAUUUGCAUCUUGUUUGUUUCAAGAACCUGAGUGUUGUUACAGAAUAACAUAUUAGCUAAUCUCAAUUUCUUAGGGUGACACCUGUUGCACCAAUUGACAUUGUUGACAGCAUAACAAAAGAAGCUUGAACUAAUAUUAAGUUUUGCAAUUGAGAA